UGGUCUAAGUGUUUCCCUCACCCUCAAUGGAUUCCACUCUUUUUGCCGUGGGAUCUCGCCCAGUCCACAUAGGAAAAAGUAAUAAAAACCGGAAACAAAUCAAAUAUGGUUGAAGUUUAUGCCGUCUGAAAUUCUUCCAUGGCUGCCACAGCUACUCCUUCCUUCCCUAUCUGCAAACAACUCUAUUUCACUCCUUCUUCCAUUCCACUCACCCUUAACAUCCCACACAGACCCAAACCCCCAAAACCCCUCAACCUUAAACCCAAGCUCUUCAGCCCUUCUUCUCUCUCACUCUACCGUUUCCACCUACCUUCAGUGUCGUUUCAUGGAUUCCAAGAGACUGAAGAAGAACCUGAAUCUGAAACCUUCCAAAAUUCAGAGCCAAAGGUGUCACACUCAAACCAAUCAAGGAGGCUCUUUGUGGGAAACUUGCCUUACUCAUUGUCUUCCUCUCAGUUGGCUCAGCUCUUCGGAGAGGCUGGUGAUGUUGUCUCUGUGGAGGUUGUGUGCGAUGACUUUACGGAUAGAAGCAGAGGAUUUGCGUUUGUUACGAUGGGGAGUGUGGAGAAUGCUGAACAAGCAAUUCAAAUGUUUGAUGGCACUCAAGUUGGAGGUAGGAAUAUUAAGGUAAACUUCCCUGAAGUUCCAAAAGGAGGCAAAAAGCGAAUGACGGGUUCAAACUAUAGUGUCUACGUAGAUAGCCCUCAUAAGAUCUAUGCUGGAAACCUUGGCUGGGGUCUGGCUUCCCAGGGCCUUAGAGACGCUUUUGCUGAGCAGCCGGGCUUCCUGAGUGCCAAGGUCAUCUAUGAAAGGAACAAUGGAAAAUCUCGAGGAUUUGGGUUUGUCUCUUUUGAAACUGCUAAAGAUGUAGAGGCUGCUUUAAAUGCUAUGAAUGGAGGUUCAAGGCAGGCCCUUACGACUCAAUCUGGCUGCAGAUAAGAAGCCUAUAUCUCCUUUUGUAAUUGAUGAAAUGGAAGAGAGUAACGUUGAUAGGUUGGAAAUCCUGUUUGGUGUCAGCACAUGAGAUGAGCUUGAGCUGUUCAUAAGUCGACCCAACAACUAGAAGUGAAGCUCAAUUGUGCAAUGGUGGUCUUGUGACUUGAUGGGAAAGAGGAAAAACAAUGAUGAAUUUCAGCUGGCUCUUUUAUGGCUGUCCAAGGUGGAAGGAAUCAGGUGCUUCUAAAUUUGUGAGCUGACACUUCACAAUUGUCUGAAGUUGAGAAACCAAGCAACAGCCAAACAUCGGAUCAAACGAAAGAAAUUUUAUGAGCUUUUAGAGAAAACUCGGAGACUGAAUGCUGAAGUAACUCGAAACAAAGAGAGUUUAGGUGUGUUGUAUCCGUUGACGACUUGGAUUUUUGUAGGGUAUUUCAUUAUCUUUUCAUUUCAUGUUUGAUGUAGUGUAUGAAAUUGUAGUUUGUUGUGAGUUUAGGUGAAUCAAUGUCUACGAGAGUUUAGCUGUCAUAGGUCUGAAUUUUGAUGGAUUUUGGCUUUAAUGUGAUUCUGGAAACUGUGAUAUGUUGCUUUAAUAUAAAUGUCUAAAUUUUUAGGCAUUUUAGAUCUCUAAA